AUUGCCUUUUGCAUUCCCACCCAUUCAUAGUGCCAAUUAGCGCAUAUUUGAAAACCGUCUUUUAACUAACUAACAAGCAGAGUAUAUAUAACAAUUAGAGUAAUUACUCCUCACAUAACAAUCUCAUUUUACAGAAAGAAGUGAAGAAAAUUGAUUUGAAGAUGUUCACGAAAUGGUUAUCGUGGGAUCAGGGAAUGACGAUUUCUAGAGAUGUUGUUGACGAUGAUGAAUCCGUUGGUACAAGGUUUAUCAGAGGAUUUAGGCAGAGAUACAGGGAAUGGAUUAUGCUGAUGUUGUUGAUCAUCAUCGUCUUCCUUUUUUUCUACUGGUUAUUCUCUCAUGCUAAAUAACAAUUUUCAGAGAAAUGGAGCUGCAAGUUCAAGAAAUGAUGAAUCCACAAAUUUUGAUUCAAGUUCAACAAAUGAUGAAUACACAAAUUAUUGAUUCAACUUCAAGAAAUGAUGAAUACCCAAAUUGUUUCAAGUUCAAGAAAUGAUGAAUACCCAAAAUUGAUUCAAGUUAGAUACGUAUUUCUAUACUGAAUUUGUACUGAAAAAAACAUUAAUAUCUCCUUCAUUGUAAACUGAAAAACAGAGUCUUCCUAUGGAUUCAAAUGAAAUAGAAUGAGUAUUCAUUCAUCCGUA